rnacentral:rRNA from 1 species
GACGAACGCUGGCGGCGUGCUUAACACAUGCAAGUCGAACGAUGAAGCCGGAGCUUGCUCUGGUGAAUUAGUGGCGAACGGGUGAAUAACACGUGAGUAACCUGCCCUUGACUCUGGGAUAACUGCGGGAAACUGUAGCUAAUACCGGAUACGACCCUCGGAGGCAUCUCCUGGGGGUGGAAAGAAUUUCGGUCAAGGAUGGACUCGCGGCCUAUCAGCUAGUUGGUGAGGUAAAGGCUCACCAAGGCGACGACGGAUAGCCGGCCUGAGAGGGUGACCGGCCACACUGGGACUGAGACACGGCCCAGACUCCUACGGGAGGCAGCAGUGGGGAAUAUUGCACAAUGGGCGCAAGCCUGAUGCAGCAACGCCGCGUGAGGGAUGACGGCCUUCGGGUUGUAAACCUCUUUUAGCAGGGAAGAAGCGAAAGUGACGGUACCUGCAGAAAAAGCACCGGCUAACUACGUGCCAGCAGCCGCAGUAA